GACGAACCGUGCAAACGUUGUUCGGAUUCACUGGGCUUAAAGGGCGCGUAGGCGGCUUGCCAAGUCAGGGGUGAAAUCCUCCGGCUCAACCGGAGAACAGCUUUUGAUACUGGCGGGCUUGAGGGAGGUAGGGGCAGGUGGAACUUCCGGUGGAGCGGUGAAAUGCGUAGAUAUCGGAAGGAACGCCGGUGGCGAAAGCGACCUGCUGGACCUCUUCUGACGCUGAGGCGCGAAAGCCAGGGGAGCAAACGGG
rnacentral:rRNA from 1 species